AACAAUAGCAGCAUUAACAGUCAUUGGACUCCCACCGAGUGUGUUAUUCUUUAAAUUAGAACCCAUGAAUAUAAUGAGAUGGAUUUUCACAGGAACAAGGGCAGGCUGAAACAAAGAGAUAAAGAAACUGAGGCUCAAUGAACUUGUAACGCUUUAGUGUCAGAGCUCUAGAAUGGGUGAAGGCCAGAUUCAGACCCAGGCAUCGUGACUCCCAAGUCUGCUUGUGGAUCCUUGAAAGCAAGGGUGAGCCAUAAGCAUUGCACCUUUGAGAGAACUGCCUGCUCAACAUGAAGAUGAUGAGGAUGAAGGCCUUUAUGAUGAUCCACUUCCACUUAAUGAAGACUUAUCUUCUUAGAACUUGCCAGCCAAGUAGUGCGAGGGAGCACAGGAUAGCAGACGGCAUGGUGUGCGGGUGGAAUCCGGCAGCCUGGCGGAAGAGCAGAUGGAGGCACCCAGAUGCAGCCCUCCCUGGCUGUCAGGGCCAGGGGCAGAAGGCCCUUGGCUCGCCAGGAGCUGCUGUUCCACAUCCUCAUAUCGACUUACUAUGAACUCUCCGGAAUUAAAAUGUUUGUCUGAGGCCCUUGUAAUUUUCUAUUGUGUGGAAUGUAAUGUAUUUAAUAUAUGGCUUGAAUUUCAAAACUCAAAGGCCUUAAACCUCUUUUUUGGCCUCACCUCACUCUCUUCUCUUUAGUCUUUUUGAAGCUAAGAAUUAUAAUUCCACUCCAAAUAUCUCACCUACCGUGUUUGUUGUAGCCCAC
rnacentral:lncRNA from 1 species